AAGCGGCUGGCACCCGUCCACAACUGCCAGAAUCUCGGGCCCUCGGGCCCGCAGAAACCCCGCGAAAGAAGUGCAUUACUCUGUUAUGCGAAGUUGGGCGAGAGGCGUCUCGCCGGAUUCCCCCCCGACGCGUCACGCGUCGGGGGGGGAUGCGAAUCAAAGCGUACCCCCCCAUUUUCAACCCCACCAAACUCUGAAUCUGAACUCGAAAGGGAGGCCUGGCUUCACGGCCGGCCGCCCUCAACCUUAUAACGUUGUAAAACUUUCAGCGACGGAUGUCUUGGCUCCCACAACGAUGAAGAACGCAGCGAAAUGCGAUACGUCUUGCGACUUGCAGAAUCCAGUGAAUCAUCAAAACUUUGAACGCACCUUGCGCUUCCGGGAUAUUCCUGGGAGCAUGCUUGUCGGAGUGUCUGUUGACACCACUCGCCCGCCUCUCUUUUUUUCCUUCCCCUAACCUGGAAGGCGACAAGGGGUGGCGAGCGGACUCUGCGUGUUCCGGAGCAACUCUCCGACGCCUUCAUUGCGCGUCGGGAAGACCCUCCGAGUGCACCUAAUCUCGUGAACGAAACCUCUCUUCUGCCCGCGGCCCUUGGGUUGCGCAGAGUUGUUGACGGCGCUCGUGCCCCUGUUCAUUUUACAGGGGUGCGGCGACUCUCGGCUCGAUCAAAAGCGCGACCCGGCGUCCUCCGUGGUGGAAAGAAAAGGGUGGUUUGUUGUUGUUUUUUUCCGGCGGGGCGGCCCCCGUGGCCGUCCCUCGGCGUUUUACUACUU
rnacentral:misc_RNA from 1 species